rnacentral:rRNA from 1 species
GUCUGUGGCCAUGCCAUCCUGAACAAGCCUGAUCUCAUCUGAUCUUGGAAGCUAAGCAGGUUCGGUCGGGCCUGGUUAGUAUUUGAAUGGGAGACCACUAGGAAGACCAAUUGUUGUAGACA